rnacentral:pre_miRNA from 1 species
GCGGCUGAUUGUCCAAACGCAAUUCUUGAGAAACCUCGAAUUCACCCCCAAGAAUUGUGUCUGGACAUCUGUUGC